ensembl:lncRNA
GAAAAUGAGUUGAAUGGCCGGGCCCAGAGGGUAGUGGUGAGUGGUGCAGUCUGGCGGGAGGGCAGCAACAAGCAGAGUGUCCCAGGGCCAUUACUGGGUCCAGUCUGUUUCACAUCUUUAACGAUCUGGAUGAUGGGACAGAGGGCACCCUCAUUAAUUCAUGGAUGGCACAGAACUGGGGGCAGUGUCCAACUCACCAGACGGCUGCGCAGUGCACACACUGCAGCCCUGCUUGCUCACCCUGGGGGCAGACAGCCACCAGCCCUUUGCCAUUAGUGGUUUAUAGCACAAAACCAAACCUUUCCAUGCUCCAAAUCUGUGCUUAAAGCUGCUUUCAUUCCAGAGUUCUGACUUUGAUGAAUCCUCACCUGCAUUUACCUGUAUCAGUUUUUCAGACAUAAUGCCUGUUUGUGGAAUCAUCCUCAUGAGAAAGUAUUGCUACAAACGUGUCAACAAACUGAAAUGCCCAUAGACACUGCUACAGUCAGGUCUGAUCAUAAAACAUGAGUCACCAUUGUUUGAUCAUUUGCUAGCCCUCAUUUUACAAGUUGUCUCUCCUAGGAAUCAUCACCACGUACAUCUUAGAUUUCAUGCACCCCUUGCAUUUUUGCUUCUUGCUGCCCGAUGCUACGAGUGGGGGAAAGAUGCCCCAAAUGGGCACAAGCGGGAGCUCGCUCCAUUGUGGCAGCCAGCAGUUUGCAGGCAACAUGAAAGAAGCAAAGAAGUUCUGCUGCCCUCCUCUCUGGGUCAGCAGGGCGAUGCUCCCACCUCUCCCAGCCCCGUUCUCCAGGAGCACAGCAAACGCACUCACUGAACAUCGCAGCGCCAGUCCUCGGUGUCCACUUCAUAAACGUGACUUUCUGGAAGGCGUCUUCCAAGCAGCAUUGGAGCCGUGACCUCUCGCUGCCGUAAGGCAUACAGGGAGCUGGGUCCUUUCCAGACAUUCAAGCUGUAGAGUUUGGUCUUUCCUGUUUUUCUUGAAGAACUUUUGGGAGGUCAGAAACGUGUUCUUUGAG